rnacentral:RNase_P_RNA from 1 species
GCGGAUGGCUGGAUGGCUGCGGCAGUAAUGUCGAGGAAAGUCCGGACUCCACAAAGCACGGUGCCGGGUAAUCCCCGGCGGGGGUAACCCUAGGGACAGCGCCACAGAGAUGUAAACUACCCUCGCUUGCGGGGGAAAAGGUGAAACGGUGGGGUAAGAGCCCACCGCGGACGUGGUAACACGGACGGCACGGCAAGCCCCACCGGGAGCAAUGCCAAAUAGGGACCGCGUGUCACCUUCGGGUGGCGGGGAUGCUUGACCCCCAGCAGGUCCGGGUUGGCAGCUAGAGCGGCGUUGGUAACAGCGUCGUCAGAUGAAUGGUCAUCCAACUGACUUCGGUCGGUGGACAGAAUCCGGCUUAUAGGCCAUCCGCGCAA